GGGUGGAUACCGAAGUGGUCAAACGGGGCAGACUGUAAAUCUGCUGGCUCCGGCCUUCGUAGGUUCGAAUCCUACUCCGCCCACCA
rnacentral:tRNA from 1 species